UACGGGGGGAGCAAGCGUUGUUCGGAUUUACUGGGCGUAAAGGGCGCGUAGGCGGCCACCGCAAGUCGACUGUGAAAUCUCCGGGCUUAACCCGGAAAGGUCAGCCGAUACUGCGGGGCUAGAGUGCAGAAGGGCAACUGGAAUUCUCGGUGUAGCGGUGAAAUGCGUAGAUAUCGAGAGGAACACCUGCGGCGAAGGCGGGUUGCUGGGCUGAUACUGACGCUGAGGCGCGAAAGCUAGGGAGCGAACGGG
rnacentral:rRNA from 1 species